rnacentral:rRNA from 1 species
CAGCCACCUGACUAACUCCGUGCAGCAGCGUAGUAAUACGGAGGGCUAGCGAUCGUUCAGUCGUAUUGCUGGUCAGUAAAGCGGCAUGCAGGUUGUUUUGAUUAGUCAUGAUGAUGAAACCCCGGGGCAUCCAUCCUCGGAUCUGCAUUUGAAGCUGGCAGACGUAGACUACUGUAGAGGGGGGUAUAUCUUCAGGUGUAGCGAUGAAAUGCGUAGAUGAUGAGGAAGGAAUACCGGUGGCGAAGGCGGCCCCCUGGACAGAUACUGACACUCAGAUGAGAAAGCGUGGGGAGCAAACAGGAUUAGAUACCCUGGUAGUCCACGCCGUAAACGAUGUCUACUUGGAGGUUGUCGCCCUGACCCGUGGCUCUCAGAUCUAACGCUUUAAGUAGACCGCCUGGAGAGUACGCUCGCAAGAUUAAAACUCAAAUGAAUUGACGGGGCCCCGCACAAGCGGUAGAGCAUGUGGUAUAAUUAGAUGCAACGCGAAGAACCUUCCCUUCUCUUGACAUCCUCAGAAGCUUGUAGAGAUACGAGUGUGCCUUCGGGAACUGAGAGACAGGUGCUGCAUGGCUGUCGUCAGCUCGUGUUGUGAAAUGUUGGGUUAAGUCCCGCAACGAGCGCAACCCUUAUCCUUGUUUGCCAGCACUUCGGGUGGGAACUCCAGGGAGACUCCCGGUGAUAAACCGGAGGAAGGUGGGUACGACGUCAAGUCAUCAUGGCCCUUACGAGUAGGGCUACACACGUGCUACAAUGGAUCAUACAGGGGGCGGCCAACUUGCGAGAGUGAGCGAAUCCCAAAAACUGCGUCGUAGUCCGGAUCGGAGUCUGCAACUCGACUCCGUGAAGUCGGAAUCGCUUGUUAUCGUGGAUCAGAAUGACACGGUGAAUUCGUUCCCGGUCAUUGUACCUCCGCCCGACCCCCAUGGGAGGGGGCCCAAACCCAAGUGGUAGGGUAACCUCGGGGGAGACGGUCACCACGUUGACAUAUGCAAAGGG